rnacentral:rRNA from 1 species
GACGAACGCUGGCGGCGUGCUUAACACAUGCAAGUCGAACGGGCCCGGUCUCUUUUUUGGGGGUGGGUUGAGUGGCGAACGGGUGAGUAUCACGUGAGUAACCUGCCCCCUGCUCCUGGAUAACUGCUUGAAAGGGCGGCUAAUACGGGGUGUGCCGGCUGGUCCGCAUGGGCCUGGUCGGGAUAGUUUCAUCUUCGGGUGUUUCGGUGGGGGAUGGGCUCGCGGCCUAUCAGCUUGUUGGUGGGGUGAUGGCCCACCAAGGCGGUGACGGGUAGCCGGCCUGAGAGGGUGGGCGGCCACACUGGGACUGAGACACGGCCCAGACUCCUGCGGGAGGCAGCAGUGGGGGGUAUUGCACAAUGGGCGGAAGCCUGAUGCAGCGACGUCGCGUGAGGGAUGGAGGCCUUCGGGUUGUGAACCUCUUUCUCCGGUGGUGAAGGCCCUGUCCGUUGCGGCGGGGUUGACGGUAGCCGGGUAUGAAGCGCCGGCUAACUACGUG